GAUGAACGCUGGCGGCGUGCCUAAUACAUGCAAGUCGAGCGAACAGAUGAGGAGCUUGCUCCUCUGACGUUAGCGGCGGACGGGUGAGUAACACGUGGAUAACCUACCUAUAAGACUGGGAUAACUUCGGGAAACCGGAGCUAAUACCGGAUAAUAUAUUUAACCGCAUGGUUCAAUAGUGAAAGACGGUUUUGCUGUCACUUAUAGAUGGAUCCGCGCCGCAUUAGCUAGUUGGUAAGGUAACGGCUUACAAAGGGAACGAUCCGUAGCCGACCUGGGAGGUUGUUCGGCCACACGGGAACUGAGCCACGGUCCAGACUCCUACGGGAGGAAGAAGUGGGGAAUCUUCGGCAAUGGGGGAAAGCUUGCCGGAGCAAGGCGGCGUGAGUGAUGAGGGUCUUCGGUUCGUAAAACUCUGUUAUUGGGAAGGAACAAAUGUGUAAGUAACUAUGCACGUCUUGACGGUACCUAAUCAGAAAGCCACGGCUAACUACGUG
rnacentral:rRNA from 1 species